rnacentral:rRNA from 1 species
CAGUAGCCGCGGUAAUACGUAGGUGGCAAGCGUUGUCCGGAAUUAUUGGGCGUAAAGGGCUCGCAGGCGGUUUCUUAGGUCUGAUGUGAAAGCCCCCGGCUCAACCGGGGAGGGUCAUUGGAAACUGGGAAACUUGAGUGCAGAAGAGGAGAGUGGAAUUCCACGUGUAGCGGUGAAAUGCGUAGAGAUGUGGAGGAACACCAGUGGCGAAGGCGACUCUCUGGUCUGUAACUGACGCUGAGGAGCGAAAGCGUGGGAAGCGAACAGGAUUAGAUACCCGUGUAGUCCCUGUCUCUUAUAC